AUGGCAGAAUGCUUCAAUAAGGUGCUCAAGGGUGUACGUGCAUUACCCGUGACGGCAAUAGUUCAAUACACAUUUGACAAGAUGAAUGAAUACUUUUUGAAGCACUCAAUGGAGACUGAUAAGCAGAUUGCUGGUGAGAACAAGGAUAAGCACAAGUACAAUUUCCCACCAAAGGUUGAAGAAUGGUUGGAAUUUCAAUCACGAAAGGCAGACUCCAAAGAAGCUGUUCUAUAUGACGACAACGAGUGGAAGUAUGAGGUGAAAGAGCCCGGAGGAACCACAAAUGAUGGCCGCCAGCACGGAGGCCGGGCUUUCAAGGUCUCCCUAACACGGUGUGAUUGCAGCUGCAUGAGGCCGUCUUUGCUUCAUCUCCCAUGCUCGCACUUGUUAAAUGCAUCCCGGGUUAGGAAUGUGGACGUCAAUCACCCUCUAACCGUGAGGGAGUCCGAGUUCUCAAUCAUGACGGUAAAGAAGACAUGGACUCCACGGUUCCAGCCAUACUUGGACCAAUCACAAUGGGAGUAUCAUGGAGUUCAACUAUGGCCGGACCCG
rnacentral:rRNA from 1 species